rnacentral:rRNA from 1 species
UACGUAGGGUGCGAGCGUUGUCCGGAAUUACUGGGCGUAGAGAGCUCGUAGGUGGUUUGUCGCGUUGUCCGUGAAAACUCACAGCUCAACUGUGGGCGUGCGGGCGAUACGGGCAGACUGGAGUACUGCAGGGGAGACUGGAAUUCCUGGUGUAGCGGUGGAAUGCGCAGAUAUCAGGAGGAACACCGGUGGCGAAGGCGGGUCUCUGGGCAGUAACUGACGCUGAGGAGCGAAAGCGUGGGUAGCAAACAGG